UGGCUAACACAUGCAAGUCGAACGCUCUCUUCGGAGAGAGUGGCGAAUGGGCAAGUAAUGCUUGUCUAACGUGCCCCAAGGUCCCGGAUCCUGAUCGAAAACUGCCGGUAAUACCUGAUGAUCCCCGCCAGUCGCAUGGCUGGCGGGGCAAAGAUUUAUCGCCUUGGGAUCGGGACAAGUCCUAUCACCUUGUUGGUGAGGUAACGGCUCAGCAGUGCCAGCACAGGUAGCGGGUGAGAGAGCACGACCCGCCGCAUCGGAACUGACACACUGGCCGGACUCCUACGGUAGGCUGCAUUAACGAAUAUUCCGCGAUGCGCGUAAGCGUGAGGGAGGAAUGCCGCGUGAAGGAUGACGCCCCUUGGGGUGUAAACUUCUGUCAAGGGUUACUGAACCUGACGAGCCCUAAAGUUCCGACCGGCUAACUUCGUGCCGCAGCCGCGGUAAUACGAAGGGUCCAAGCGUUAAUCGGAAUCACUGGGCAUAAAGCGUGCGUAGCGCGGAUGUGCAAGUACCCUGUGAAAUCCCACGGCUCAUCCGUGUCUCUGCUCGGUAGACUGCGCAUCUUGACCUCUGAUAGGGGCUGUUUGAUUAUAGAGUGGAGCGAGUUAUAUGCUUAGAUAUCUAUCGGAACGCCGAUGGCGAAAGCAGGCUAGCUGGUCUCGAUGUUGACGCUCAGGCACGAAAGCGUGGGUAGCGAUCGGGAUUGAGAUACCCCGGUAGUCCACGCUAGUAACACGAUGCACACUAGGUCGGGGUAGGUUGUGACGCCAUCCCGGCCGAAGCCAAUGUGUUAAGUGUACGGCCUGGGGAGUACGAUCGCAAGGCUAAGACUCAAAGGAAUUGACGGGACUCACACAAGCGGUGGAGCAUGUGGCUUAAUUCGAAGCAACGCGAAGAACCUUAUCCUGGGUUUGACAUGUACGGAUUAGCUUCCGGAAAAAGAAGUGACGCGCUUGCGACAAACGUACACAGGUGCUGCAUGGCUGUUGUCAGCUCGUGCUGUGAAGUGUCGGGUUAAGUCCCUUAACGAGCGAAACCCCUGUCGUUAGUUGCCAGCAUUCAGUUGGGGACUCUAACGGGACUGCCGGUGUCAAACCGGAGGAAGGUGGGGAUGACGUCAAGUCAUCAUGGCCUUUAUGCCCAGGGCUGCACACGUGCUACAAUGGCAUGGACAGAGCGAAGCAUAGCCGUAAGGUGGAGCAAAUCGCAGAACCGAUGCCCCAGUUGGGAUUGUGGUGCGCAACUCGACCACAUGAAGUUGGAAUCGUUAGUAAUCGCGUAUCAUCAAUGACGCGGUGAAUACGUUCCGGACUCUGGUACACACCCCCCGUCACCUCAUGGGACCCGG
rnacentral:rRNA from 1 species